AGGAUGAACGCUGGCGGUAUGCUUAACACAUGCAAGUCGUACGGGUGGAACUUGUUCCAUCUAGUGGCGGACGGGUGCGUAACACGUAAGAACCUACCUUUUGGAGGGGGAUAACAUUGGGAAACUGAUGCUAAUACCUCGUAAUACUGAGGAGUUAAAAGCGGGUAUCCUGCAAGGGAGCUACGCGCCAAGAGAGGGGCUUGCGGCUGAUUAGCUAGUUGGUGGGGGUAAUGGCCUCCCAAGGCCACGAUCAGUAGCUGGUCUGAGAGGACGACCAGCCACACUGGGACUGAGACACGGCCCAGACUCUUACGGGAGCAGCAGUGAGGAAUUUUCCACAAUGGGCGAAAGCCUGAUGGAGCAAUCCCGCGUGGAGGAAGAAGGUCUGUGGAUCGUAAUCUCCUUUUCUCAGAGAAGAACAAAUGACGGUAUCUGAGGAAUAAGCUCCGGCUAACUAUGUGCCAGCAGCCGCGGU
rnacentral:rRNA from 1 species